GCUUAACGCGAAGAACCUUACCUGGGCUCGAACGGCGGACGACGCCCUUUAGAAUAGAGGGUUUCCGUUCGGGAACGGCCGUCGAGGUGCUGCAUGGCUGUCGUCAGCUCGUGUCGUGAGAUGUUGGGUUAAGUCCCGCAACGAGCGCAACCCUUGUCCUGUGUUGCUAAUCUUCGGAUGCACUCUCAGGAGACCGCCAGCGACAAGCUGGGGAAGGUGGGGAUGAUGUCAAGUCAGCAUGGCCUUUAUGUCCAGGGCUACACACGUGCUAUAAUGGGCAGGACAGAACGUCGCGAACCCGCGAGGGGGAGCAAAUCGGGGAAACCUGUUCUCAGUUCGGAUUGCAGGCUGCAACUCGCCUGCAUGAAGCUGGAAUCGCUAGUAAUGGCAGAUCAGCAUGCUGCCGUGAAUACGUUCCCGGGUCUUGUACACACCG
rnacentral:rRNA from 1 species